UCUCCGUAGGUGAACCUGCGGAGGGAUCAUUACAAGUGACCACGGUCUUACCACCGGGUUGUUCCGAACCCUUUGUUGUCCGACUCUGUUGCCUCCGGGGCGACCCUGCCUUCGGGCGAGGGCUCCGGGUGGGCACUUCACACUCUUGCGUAACUUUGCAGUCGGAGUAAACUUAAUUAAUAAAUUAAAACUUUUAACAACGGAUCUCUUGGUUCUG
rnacentral:misc_RNA from 1 species